rnacentral:scRNA from 1 species
UACCUCUACCGCGACAAGGAAUAUCACGGACAUCUC